UGGGGAAUAUUGGACAAUGGGCGCAAGCCUGAUCCAGCCAUGCCGCGUGUGUGAAGAAGGCCUUCGGGUUGUAAAGCACUUUUGUUGGGGAAGAAAAGCCAUGGGUUAAUAGCUCGUGGUCAUGACGGUACCCAAAGAAUAAGCACCGGCUAACUUCGUGCCAGCAGCCGCGGUAAUACGAAGGGUGCAAGCGUUACUCGGAAUUACUGGGCGUAAAGCGUGCGUAGGUGGUCUGUCAAGUCCGAUGUGAAAGCCCUGGGCUCAACCUGGGAACUGCAUUGGAAACUGGCAGUCUGGAGUGCGGUAGAGGGUAGCGGAAUUCCCGGUGUAGCAGUGAAAUGCGUAGAUAUCGGGAGGAACAUCCGUGGCGAAGGCGGCUACCUGGACCAGCACUGACACUGAGGCACGAAAGCGUGGGGAGCAAACAGG
rnacentral:rRNA from 1 species